rnacentral:rRNA from 1 species
GCAUAUCAUAAGCGGAGGAAAAGAAACCAACAGGGAUUGCCCCAGUAACGGCGAAGUGAAGCGGCAACAGCUCAAAUUUGAAAUCUGGCCCUCUGGGCCCGAAGUUGUAAUUUGGAGAGGAUGCUUCUGGCGCGGCGCCGUCCAAGUUCCCUAGAACGGGACGCCACAGAGGGUGAGAGCCCCGUACGGUCGGACGCCCAGCCAGUGUGAAGCUCCUUCGACGAGUCGAGUAGUUUGGGAAUGCUGCUCAAAAUGGGAGGUAAAUUUCUUCUAAAGCUAAAUACCGGCCAGAGACCGAUAGCGCACAAGUAGAGUGAUCGAAAGAUGAAAAGCACCUUGAAAAGAGGGUUAAACAGUACGUGAAAUUGUUGAAAGGGAAGCGCCUGCGACCAGACUUGCGCCCCGCGGACCACCCGGCGUUCUCGCCGGUGCACUCCGCGGGGCGCAGGCCAGCAUCGGCUUCCCCAGGGGGACAAAGGUCGCGGGAACGUAGCUCCUCCGGGAGUGUUAUAGCCCGCGGCGCCAUGCCCCUGGGGGGGCCGAGGACCGCGCUUCGGCAAGGAUGCUGGCGUAAUGGUCGUCGGCGACCCGUCUUGAAACACGGACCAAGGAGUCAAGCAUUGGGGCGAGUGUCUGGGUGCCAAACCCGCACGCGAAAUGAAAGUAAACGCAGGUGAGAGCUUCGGCGCAUCAUCGACCGAUCCUGAUGUCUUCGGAUGGAUUUGAGUAAGAGCCUUACCGCUUGGACCCGAAAGAUGGUGAACUAUGCCUGUAUAGGGUGAAGCCAGAGGAAACUCUGGUGGAGGCUCGCAGCGGUUCUGACGUGCAAAUCGAUCGUCAAAUAUGGGCAUGGGGGGCGAAAGACUAAUCGAACCAUCUAGUAGCUGGUACGCA